AUAGACUUUAUUUCCGGUUUGGUUAGUAGCUUGUAGAUAAGUUGAUAUUCAUACCAAGCAAAAAGAACAAAGACAUUCAGUUUUAAAUACAUUUCUAAUACUGAGAAAGAUACAUAAAUCUCCUUUGAACAUGCUAUGCAGAUGACUCAAUAAAAAAGGACAGAUUCACUUCUUCCAAAAUGUCUUUCUCAGCAUCAGACUGAAAGAUUGAUUUCCAAACUUUUAACGCAUUUUAGCAUUGCUCCACCAGCCUCGACAGUUGAACCUCCGUCACGUCACAUGCCACCACAGUGCUGUUGCUCCAGUGUGAAGCGCUGGCAGCCGUGACAAGAGUCUCAACACUACACCGACUGCCCUCGCGGAACCUAAUCUCUGCCGCCUUUGUCACUAGACAGUGUCAUGUUCAGCCAGGGCCAGGCGUGUUUCCUCCGCGCGAGUCGGCCACGGCGAUGUGACAGAGAGACGGAAGGAAGGGUGUGAGGCUGAACCUGAACACCUAGAGACGGGCCGGCUGGGGGGAUUGUGACGCCUUCUGGAGUCUCAUGACGACUGGUUCAAAGGAACCCGUUCUCGAACCGCUUUACCGGCAGAAGCUUUGAACCUGUAGCUGAAUUGGCUUCCUCAUCCAGCGAAAGGUGGUCAACGGUUGCUUGCUGGCGAUGAGCCUCAAAGUUGAGUCAGCUCCUCGGUCGGCACCUCUACGUUUCCGAUGUGCCACAAAAUCCAAAACGCCAGGCUGAGGAACAAGAUUAGCGGCCCAGAAAGGACAAGAAAGUCCCAGUAGCCGACGGGCGAGGCGAUCCCAGUGAUGAAGACGAUGAGGCCGAUCACAUCAAGGAGGACAGCAACGAAGAAAAACCCUACGCAGCGGCCGAUCCGACAGCGGCAACUUGUGAAAGUUAGUUUUAUUCUUUCCAUGCUUCGCACGGCACCUCACGAGGAGUGAGCGGCGUGACAGAUGACACGGAAAGAGCUUAAACAUUCAGGUCACAUUCCUUCUAUCUCUACAUCUUCAUUUUUUUUUUUUAAACCACCCGCUGGCACCA